AAUUGGUCUGAGUGCAGUGGUAUUUACAACUAAUUGAUCACAACCAGUUACAGAUUGCUUUGUUCCUUCUCCACUCCUACCUACUGUUUCACUUGACCAGCCUUAA
rnacentral:Y_RNA from 1 species